GGGUUGUGAGGUUAAGCGACUAAGCGUACACGGUGGAUGCCCUGGCAGUCAGAGGCGAUGAAGGACGUGCUAAUCUGCGAUAAGCGCCGGUAAGGUGAUAUGAACCGUUAUAACCGGCGAUUUCCGAAUGGGGAAACCCAGUGUGAUUCGUCACACUAUCAUUAACUGAAUCCAUAGGUUAAUGAGGCGAACCGGGGGAACUGAAACAUCUAAGUACCCCGAGGAAAAGAAAUCAACCGAGAUUCCCCCAGUAGCGGCGAGCGAACGGGGAGGAGCCCAGAGCCUGAAUCAGCAUGUGUGUUAGUGGAAGCGUCUGGAAAGGUGCGCGAUACAGGGUGACAGCCCCGUACACAAAAGCGCAUGUGCUGUGAGCUCGAUGAGUAGGGCGGGACACGUGGUAUCCUGUCUGAAUAUGGGGGGACCAUCCUCCAAGGCUAAAUACUCCUGACUGACCGAUAGUGAACCAGUACCGUGAGGGAAAGGCGAAAAGAACCCCGGCGAGGGGAGUGAAAAAGAACCUGAAACCGUGUACGUACAAGCAGUGGGAGCACAGGUUUACCUGUGUGACUGCGUACCUUUUGUAUAAUGGGUCAGCGACUUAUAUUCUGUAGCAAGGUUAACCGUAUAGGGGAGCCGUAGGGAAACCGAGUCUUAACCGGGCGUUAAGUUGCAGGGUAUAGACCCGAAACCCGGUGAUCUAGCCAUGGGCAGGUUGAAGGUUGGGUAACACUAACUGGAGGACCGAACCGACUAAUGUUGAAAAAUUAGCGGAUGACCUGUGGCUGGGGGUGAAAGGCCAAUCAAACCGGGAGAUAGCUGGUUCUCCCCGAAAGCUAUUUAGGUAGCGCCUCGUGAAUUCAUCUCCGGGGGUAGAGCACUGUUUCGGCUAGGGGGCCAUCCCGGCUUACCAACCCGAUGCAAACUGCGAAUACCGGAGAAUGUUAUCACGGGAGACACACGGCGGGUGCUAACGUCCGUCGUGAAGAGGGAAACAACCCAGACCGCCAGCUAAGGUCCCAAAGUCAUGGUUAAGUGGGAAACGAUGUGGGAAGGCCCAGACAGCCAGGAUGUUGGCUUAGAAGCAGCCAUCAUUUAAAGAAAGCGUAAUAGCUCACUGGUCGAGUCGGCCUGCGCGGAAGAUGUAACGGGGCUAAACCAUGCACCGAAGCUGCGGCAGCGAACGUAUCACCCAAGACAACUUUACGGAGUUGACGAUUGACGGAGCGAAGCGACGUCAAAGCGUUCAUUAAAGUCGAGUUGGCUUAGGGAUACGUUCGUUGGGUAGGGGAGCGUUCUGUAAGCCUGUGAAGGUGUGUCGUGAGGC
rnacentral:rRNA from 1 species